rnacentral:rRNA from 1 species
CAGCCGCCACGGUAAUACGAAGGGAGCUAGCGUUGCUCGGAAUCACUGGGCGUAAAGGGUGCGUAGGCGGGUCUUUAAGUCAGAGGUGAAAUCCUGGAGCUCAACUCCAGAACUGCCUUUGAUACUGGAGAUCUCGAGUUCGGGAGAGGUGAGUGGAACUGCGAGCGUAGAGGUGAAAUUCGUAGAUAUUCGCAAGAACACCAGUGGCGAAGGCGGCUCACUGGCCCGAUACUGACGCUGAGGCACGAAAGCGUGGGGAGCAAACAGGAUUAGAUACCCCUGUAGUCCCUGUCUCUUAUAC